UACAGGCUCAAAUCUCUGAUGUUCAAAGGUUUUUGUGUACGUUUGAGGCAUCAUAUAAGCAUUUGGGACUUCUCUUGUUUUUUGCUUGUUCAGUGUACAAAUGGAAGGGGCUGUCUCCGCGGCCCCUUCUGCAACGGCGCUUGUGGUGGUUUGACCAUUGCAUGUAGGCAUCCGGUGGGUGAACUGAGCCAGGAUGUCCUUCUCCCAACUGGCUGAAGUCCUGGGUUAGACGAUCAAGGAGGACCUCUCCGUGCUCACGGGACCGCAGGUGGCCGGCCUGCGCCGAUGGAACCGUGACUGGUUCGCUAUCUCCAGUGAACUGGCGCAGGACCGUCGCACGUGGGCUGCCAUGGUUGGAGAUGCCUCGAGGGUGGUAGAAGAAGCAGACUCAAUCCGCCCCGGGGUGAAUGUUGCCACAAGUACAAGUAAGUGUACAUGUGUGACAGAACAGUAGAAUACUGAGAGAAAAAUGUGGGCAUAAGAGGAAUUAGAUGCAGUGUGCAAGAGAGAAGACUAACAUAAAAUUAGACUGCCAAAAUAACACUAAAAAGGGAUUAAGAAAAAAUAUUCUGUUGUGUCUGGGGAGAGUCAUUUUCUUUUUGUGCCGUUUUAUGUAACACACUCACCGGUAAAAUUUCCACUUAUUUCUUAUUUUCCUAAAAUUUUCGUUGCGUCUUGCAACCUUAUAAGGCACAGAAAGAAAAUGACCCUCCCCAGACACAACAGAAUAUACUUCAACACACAAACUCACAUAAAGAAUCUUGCAAACCAAAUCAAAAA
rnacentral:lncRNA from 1 species